rnacentral:snRNA from 1 species
AUUGCUUCUCGGCCUUUUGGCUAAGAUCAAGUGUAGAUAAAAACAAAAGCAAUUUUUUUAAGGUCAUUAUUCAGUUAGAACCUAU